GAUUAUGAUUGGGUGCCACCCUAAGAAUAGGGAAACCAGGAGCUCAUUGUUGAUCAUGUGGGGUGUUUGAAUCCCUUCCUAUGCUGUGUAACAGAAGGAAAUACUGCACUCAGGUUCUCAUAAACAACACUGGAUAUGCUACCGACAGAGGUUCACACCAGGAAGGACAUGCUUUUUUCAUACAAAUUGAGAUCAAGAUACCAGAAGCAGCCUCUCUCAAUGAGCCUGGUGAGUUUGGAAAAUCAAUUGGCAUCACUCAAGCAACAGUGUGUUUGUAGAAGAGCUCAUGCAUUUGCCAAAUUGAUAAGUCAUCAAGGAGAAAAAGGGUGCAGACUAAUUGGAAAAAUAGAUUUUAACGGACCAAGGCAUCACUGUUGUGUAAACAGGGAAACGUACGCUUCCCAAGCUCCCUGAGAAUUCAAAAUGCUGCAAGAGCAAAUGCACUUUAGAUUUCUCUUCUACAAUUAAUGAAUGGGACAAUAUGCUUUGUGCUCAAACUCAAUAAGAGCUCAAAAAACCCAGAAGCUUCAGUGAACUUAAAUUUAUAAAUUUUCUGUAAGCAUUCAGAGCUUGCAAUGUAGCAUAAAGUUCUCUUCUCUUUACUGAACAGUUUACCAUUAUGGCUAUUAUAUGACAUCAAUGAACUACCGGAUUUCUCCCCAGUGCAGUAGAUAAAAUAUAUGACAAUAUGUAUUCAUAAUUCAAAUCUGGGUUAAAGAACAUUCAAAAUAUUGUCAACUAACAUUACUUUGCAACUUUGUAAAUAGAUCACAUUACAAUGCAAUAUUUUGGCAGUUCUUGGCUCAUCUGAAAAAAUGGCUCUGCUUCAUUGCUGUACAAAAUGACACAAUGUGUCCAAGAAUGCCCAGCACACAGGUUAAAAGGAAUGAAGAAUCUGACAAGUGAAGAGCCCAAACUCAUUUUCUUUUGAAUUUUCUGAGGCAAACAACUUUCAGUCUAUCUGUUCAUCUAUCUAUCUGGGAUAGAUUCCAGGCCAGGGCCCAAAGGAGAGAUUACAUUAUUCU